rnacentral:tRNA from 1 species
GGGCGCGUAGCUCAGAGGGAGAGCGCAUGCCUUACAAGCAUGAGGCCGUAGGUUCAAGUCCUACCGCGCCCA